UACGAAGGGGGCUAGCGUUGCUCGGAAUUACUGGGCGUAAAGCGUGCGCAGGCGGUUCUGAAAGUCAGCUGUGAAAGCCCCGGGCUUAACCUGGGAAUGGCGGUUGAAACUACAGGACUAGAAUCUGGCAGAGGGGGGUGGAAUUCCACGUGUAGCAGUGAAAUGCGUAGAGAUGUGGAGGAACACCGAUGGCGAAGGCAGCCCCCUGGGCUGAGAUUGACGCUCAGGCACGAAAGCGUGGGGAGCAAACAGG
rnacentral:rRNA from 1 species